AGAGAACCUCAGUUUUCCCACUCACACAGUCUCUUAAGAUGUAACAAUGGGACAAGGCUAAGCUGUUGACGGUCUUCUCUGAAUAAGGGUCUCCGCUGAUGUUCCUGCUGGUUUGGACACAGGACGCCCAAAGUGGGGCCUGGAUAGAGGAGGCUCCAUGAGGAAGAAGGUUCAGGUGGCCAGCAUUGUAUAUAGAAAUUCCUUCAAAUGCUGUGGGAGCCUGCUGUGGCUGAAACGAAAGAAAAAGAUUGAAUUCAACUUGCUGAAGAUGUUCCUAUGGAAGGUACUUUUGAGCCAAUGGAAAAUCACUUGUGAUGCUUCAACACUGGGUAAAAGGGAUGUAAUUCCCCCAUUUGCCUGGCAUUUUUUUUCUGACUGAAAAUUGUACAAACCAUGCUAAAACUCUGAGUUAUGGUCAUCUCCUGGCCACAGCUGAUUGUCCACCUAUGGGAUGCCAAUCUGCUAUAAUGUUAAAUUUUAUAGACUUUUAAGGCAUGCCCUGGAAAAGUUGCUCCUGUCUUGUGCUUUUUGUUUGAUCAACAACAUCCCUACUACAUAGACAGAUGUAUUGAGGAGAACGUAGGAUGUCCCUAUCAUUCAUGCAGAAUCCAUGAUGUUAGGAACUUAAGAAAUAAUGAGAUUAUUAUUCAAGGUCCCUAUCAGGGCCACAAUUUUUAUCACAUACCCCCAGGCUAUACUUGGGAUAUUUGGGAUCAUGGGAUUCUCGCUGGACUACACCAGUCUAGGUAGCCAUGUACAUGAAUAGAGAUAUAACCUGGCCUAGCAGCUAUGUCUAUAUUUGUCAUUCUCUUGUUCAAAUACAAACCACCAUCCAUGCAGAAAUCCAAGAACAAGAAAAAGUUAAAUACACAACUCACCUUCCCUUUUUCCUGGCUCUCUCUUCUCAGAGAAGGCCACAUGAUUGCCAACAUUACAGGUCUUGGCAAUGUUUCUGCCUGUUUCCUUUGUGCCGCGCUAGCACGUCCUCCUUUAACAGCAGUCCCAUAUCCCACCUCGUUUAAUGGCUCUAGUAAUAUUGAUAAAGGAUUUUCGCCCAUCUCUGAUCUAUCACUGUUUUUGGCUCCUGAUCGGGAACAAUUUAGCUUUUGCUAUUCUAAUGCUAGCACUACCUUGUGUAAUUUGACUAUUGUCCCAAAUACAGAUCUUUUUGCCCCUGAGGGGUUCUCUCUCUGGUGUAAUGGUACCUUUCCAAAAAUCUUUCAGCUCCUGUAAAUAAGGAGCUGCUGUGCCUUCCCUUUGCCUUACUGCCUCCGUUAACCCUUUGCACCCCAGCUGAAUAUCUAGGUUGGGCUGGUCUGCCAUCCUUAAGGAUGAAAUGGGCUGUUUUCUUACACCUGGUGGCUGGUAUCUCCCUUGCUAAAUCCAUUGUGGCUGCUGGCUUGGCAGGAGGAACUUUAGGACAUUCCCUUCUCCCCACUGCAAAACUUUCUCAACAGUUUCAUUUGGCAAUAGAGGCCUCAGCAGAGUCUCUGGCUUCCCUGCAAAGGCAGAUGAAUUCCCUUGCUCAGGUCACCUUACAGAACCAGUGAGCCUUAGAUCUCCUGACCAUGGAAAAGGGUGGAACAUGCCUGUUCCUGGGAGAAGAAUGCUGUUUCUAUGUCAACGAAUCUGGCUUGGUGGAAACCCAAGUUAAUAAAUUACACAAGCUCAGUAUUGAACUACAGAGACAGAAAUUUUCCUCUACCGCCUGUGAUUGGUGGAGAUCAUCUACGUUUUCUCUUUUGAUGCCCUUUGUGGGACCCCUGAUUAGUAUUUUGCUCUUGGUUACACUGGGACCCAUGAUUUUCAACAAGCUCAUGGCUUUUAUUAAUCAAUAAAUUGAGGCCAUUCAGGUCCAUUAUCAUCGCCUUGAGAUGAAUGAUCUAGGUGGGUCUUCUGCUCCCAACCACCUCCCCUGUGAGCUGAACUGGACAGUCAAUGAGGGGUAAGAGAGCAGCAUUCUCUGGUAUUUGAAGCCUAAGACAGGAGGGCCACCAUAAGCUGCUGUCUUAUCCAAUGACGGGCCUAGAGAAAUAAGAAGGUCGUGCUCCAAUCUAAGAGAGACACAGUUCCCUAGGGGCUCUCUCAUGGCUUGAAAUAAUAAAAAAGGGGGACCUGUCCGGGGCCACCCAGCCUGCUUAUACCUUUCUUUGCCUGAGCUAAGUGUUUUCCACUUCAUGGGCCCUUGUUUCCAAGUAGCAUACGUGGGGGUUACCACCAGUCAAAAAUACUGGAGACUUCCUGGUAGCUUGCUUUUACACAAGAAUGAGUUUCAUUCUAUUCUUAGUUAGAAACUUCAGAAAAUUGAAACUUAGUGUAGGUAAGAAGUUUUUGGGAAAUCAAAACUUAUGCCAUUGGUUUCUGAUGUGACAACGUUUAUCGUUACCCUGAUUACCAGUUUGUGUUGUAUGAUUUUUCUGCUUAUAAACAAGUGCUUUUUGCUUGAUUAAAUGAGACAUAAUCAGAAUAUUGUCUUGUCUCCACUUCUCGCGCCUCUUGUCCCAUCCCUCCCACUCCCCUCUCCAAGGUCUCUGUUGAUGUUCGGGCAGGCUGGGACAGUUUCCCUUCUUUGUUGGAGUUUUUCAUCUAUAAUCCUUUGAAGGGGUGGAUUUGAGAAAAGAUGUUGUCUAAAUUUGAUUUUGCCAUGGAAUAUCUUGGUUUCUCCAUCUAAUGUUAAUUGAGAGUUUUGUUGGGUAUAGUAGCCUGGGCUGGCAUUUGUGUUCUCUUAGGGUCCUAAUGACAUCUGUCCAGGAUCUUGUAGCUUUCAUGGUCUUUGUUGAAAAGUCUGGUGUAAUUCUGAAAAGUCUGCCUUUAUAUGCUAAUUGACCUUUUUCCCUUACUGUUUUUAUUAUUAUUUGUUUUGUGUAUUGGGUGUUUUGACUAUUAUGUAAUGGGAGGAAUUUCUCUCUGGUCCAAUCUAUUUGGAGUUCCUUAGGCUUCUUGUAUGUUCAUGGGCAUCUCUUUCUUUAGGUUAGGGAAGUUUUCUUCUAUGAUUUUGUUGAAGAUAUUUACUGGCCCUUUAUGUUGGGAGUCUUCACUCUCUUGUAUACUUAUUAUUCUUAGGUUUGGUCUUCUCAUUGUGUCCUGGAUUUCCUGGAUGCUUUGGCUUAGAAGCUUUUGGCAUUUUGCAUUUUUUUGGCAAAUAAAACCAUUUACUUGCUAGCCAAGCUAACAGAAGACAAGUGGUUAAUAAUUUUAGGAGUCAUUCAGGGGAUAGGAUAUAUGCACACUUCAGAGACAGGGCUAAACAACUCAAUAGCGUACAGGAAACAGAGAGUUCCUUAAGAACACCAUGCCCAAAACCUCAGACAAAGAAAGCCACUCAUGUCACAAAAAAAGAAUAAUUUUAGCUGGAUAUGAGUGAUGCAGGCAUUUAUUCCCACCACACAGGAGGCAGAGGUGGUCAGAUUCUGUGAACACAAGGCCAGCCUGGUCUACAGCCUGUGUUCCAUGACAACAAGAAUCACAUAGAAAAAGUCUCAAAAGACUACCAACCAACAAAAAAAAACCCAAAACAAAAACAAACAAAUGAACCUCCAUAUAGAAUAAUUUCAUAGUACUUUAUAUUAUGAUGUUGUAUUUUAAAUUAAUACUUAAAGACAUUAAUAAAAUAGUAGAAGACAAAGCAUUAAGCUCAGAGUUCUCAUCACUGGGAGUGUAUAUACCUCUCCCUCCUCUUAACUUUACUGUAACUGUAAACCUGCUCACAAUGUAAACAUUUCAGCUGAGCUUCUCCAGGAAUCACUGCCAGGGUGGUCUGUUCAAGUCCUUGCAUGGUUUCCAGGGCAGCAGACACAGUACUGAAAUAAGAAUGAACUUUCAGAUGAACUUCUGGAAAUGAUUUAAUGCAGCAUUUCCACAUAAGGUUAAUCUUCAAACAAAAUCCUCCUAUGUUAUAAUAAUAAUAAUAAUAAUAAUAAUAAUAAUAAUAAUAAUAAUAAAGCAGAUAAAAUAUAAAACAGUUUUUUCUCUUGGUAAGAGACACUUUUCCAAUUCUAUUUCCAAUUUUAUUUUGAAUGCUCGUGCUUUUUCUUUGUAUACUCGCAAAUACUUUGGACUUCACUUUUUAAAUUAGUAUUUGGAGCAUUUGUGCAUGUUGACGUUAUCUUCAGGAGGUGCACUCCUCUUCACCAUCUGGUCUCACAACAAAGAAACCCAUCACAUGUGUGCAGUCUCCUCACAGAGUCUCUAGCUUCCAACAGAUACAACUCCCCCCUGCCUGUGAACUCCUCAACCAACCUGCAGUGCAGAGGAGAGCUUCAGAAGUUUCUGUUACCAUGGGCACUGGAAAAAAUUUCCUGAACAAAACACCAAUGGCUUAUGCUUUAAGAUCAAGAAUCGACAAAUGGGAUCUCAUAAAACUGCAAAGCUUCUGUAAGGCAAAGGACAUUGUGAUUAGGACAAAACGGCAACCAACAGAUUGGAAAAAGAUCUUUACCAAUCCUAAAACAGAUAGAGGGCUUAUAUCCAAAAUAUACAAAGAACUCAAGAAGUUAGACCGCAGGGAGACAAACAACCCUAUUAAAAAUGGGGUUCAGAACUAAACAAAGAAUUCACAGCUGAGGAAUGCCGAAUGGCUGAGAAACGCCUAAAGAAAUGUUCAACAUCUUUAGUCAUAAGGGAAAUGCUAAUCAAAACAACCCUGAGAUUUCACCUCACACCAGUGAGAAUGGCUAAGAUCAAAAAUUCAGGUGACAACAAAUGCUGGCGAGGAUGUGGAGAAAGAGGAACACUCCUCCAUUGUUGGUGGGAUUGCAGACUGGUACAACCAUUCUGGAAAUCAGUCUGGAGGUUCCUCAGAAAAUUGGACAUUGAACUGCCUGAGGAUCCAGCUAUACCUCUCUUAGGCAUAUACCCAAAAGAUGCCCCAACAUAUAAA